rnacentral:rRNA from 1 species
UACGUAGGGGGCAAGCGUUAUCCGGAUUUACUGGGUGUAAAGGGAGCGCAGACGGCAGUGCAAGUCUGGAGUGAAAGCCCGGGGCUCAACCCCGGGACUGCUUUGGAAACUGCAUAGCUGGAGUGCUGGAGAGGCAAGCGGAAUUCCUAGUGUAGCGGUGAAAUGCGUAGAUAUACGGAGGAACACCAGUGGCGAAGGCGGCUUGCUGGACGGUAACUGACGCUGAGGCUCGAAAGUGUGGGUAUCAAACAGG